AUACAGAGGGUGCGAGCGUUAAUCGGAAUUACUGGGCGUAAAGCGCGCGUAGGCGGCUUAUUAAGUCAGAUGUGAAAUCCCCGGGCUCAACCUGGGAACUGCAUCUGAUACUGGUAAGCUAGAGUUUUGGAGAGGGAAGUAGAAUUUCAGGUGUAGCGGUGAAAUGCGUAGAGAUCCGAAUGAAUACCAGUGGCGAAGGCGACUUCCUGGCCAAAAACUGACGCUGAGGUGCGAAAGCGUGGGUAGCAAACGGGAUUAGAUACCCCAGUAGUCC
rnacentral:rRNA from 1 species